rnacentral:lncRNA from 1 species
AUGUCCCCGCUGCUGGUUUGGGAACCCUCUUCCAGAGACGUCCCUGCCUCGGGGACCAGAGCAUCACUUGAUGCAUUUCCAGCAGGAUCAGCCCCUCGGCAUCCCGUGCUGCAGCAGGGAUCCUCCCCCUGCUUCCCGGCACCGGGAAGGAGGCUCAGGGCAAAUCACGUCCCAAAAGGCAAUUAUCCCUCCUGCCGAUGCUCGCUGCUCCGUCCGAGCCGACGCGGUGCUCCAUUUGUCAUCGUUUGUGAGAGCAGCGAGGGGGGAGGCCACCGCCGAACGGGGAUUGAUUGCUUGGAUGCUGGCCGGGCUGGGCAGGCAGCCUGGGCUCUGGGAAAUGGCAAAUCAUUCCUGAACACGGGAGUCGUGUGCCGGGAUCCCGGCCACCCACCUCCAGCCUCUCCCGAGCCACUGGGAGGACUGGGCUGCUCCCAGGGCUGCCUGGAGGAGCACUGGGGGGCACGGGGCAGGUUUUGGGGGAGGAAAACAGCCAAAUGCCUUCCCUGCAGCUCCGGUGAUGCUUCCCAAUUUGCUUUCAGUAAAAGCCGUGAAGGAGCAUUGGGGAUUUGGGAGAAUAAAAGGAGGAAGCCUCACGUCUGCAGAUGCGCAGGACGCGGCGAGGCACAGCAGGAAAGAGGGGAACUGGCCACCAAAUUAGCAGCUGAUGGCCAGGCAACAGCUCUGGGGGCUCCUGCAAGCAGCUUGGAGCAGACACCUGCCCAGCAGUCAGAGGGAUUAGGGGAAAAACACAAAAAGAACCUUCCAAACCUAGCAAAAAGUUCAGUCCCACGCCAGGAAAACACAAAGGAAGAAGCACAAAAGAGCGCAGGGCAUUUUCUAGGGCCAUUACCCGAGGUUUGCAGCCCCUCUCAGCAGCGCUGUGCAGCUCUGGCUGCCUUCCUGGAAAAACUCCACGGCAAGAAAGGAAAAUGUCAGUGGGUAACGGGGACAGAGAGCGUGUUUUGUCAGGAGCAGAGGUCUCUGCGCUUGGAAAUAGAUGUCUCUUAA